AUCCUUUUGUAGUUGACGAGUAUAAUAAUGGGAAUUUCACAUGUAUGUGUGAGAUGUACCUCCCUCCAAACUUGUUACCACAUCUGCACAUUACCUGCCUGAUG
ensembl:snoRNA